rnacentral:piRNA from 1 species
UACCUUGUGCAGGGUGGCGUUAUACAA